AGAGUUUGAUCCUGGCUCAGGAUGAACGCUGGCGGCGUGCCUAAUACAUGCAAGUCGAACGCUUCACUUCGGUGAAGAGUGGCGAACGGGUGAGUAAUACAUAAGUAACCUGGCAUCUACAGGGGGAUAACUGAUGGAAACGUCAGCUAAGACCGCAUAGGUGUAGAGAUCGCAUGAACUCUAUAUGAAAAGUGCUACGGGACUGGUAGAUGAUGGACUUAUGGCGCAUUAGCUUGUUGGUAGGGUAACGGCCUACCAAGGCGACGAUGCGUAGCCGACCUGAGAGGGUGACCGGCCACACUGGGACUGAGACACGGCCCAGACUCCUACGGGAGGCAGCAGUAGGGAAUCUUCGGCAAUGGGGGCAACCCUGACCGAGCAACGCCGCGUGAGUGAAGAAGGUUUUCGGAUCGUAAAGCUCUGUUGUAAGUCAAGAACGAGUGUGAGAGUGGAAAGUUCACACUGUGACGGUAGCUUACCAGAAAGGGACGGCUAACUACGUGCCAGCAGCCGCGGUAAUACGUAGGUCCCGAGCGUUGUCCGGAUUUAUUGGGCGUAAAGCGAGCGCAGGCGGUUUGAUAAGUCUGAAGUUAAAGGCUGUGGCUCAACCAUAGUUCGCUUUGGAAACUGUCAAACUUGAGUGCAGAAGGGGAGAGUGGAAUUCCAUGUGUAGCGGUGAAAUGCGUAGAUAUAUGGAGGAACACCGGUGGCGAAAGCGGCUCUCUGGUCUGUAACUGACGCUGAGGCUCGAAAGCGUGGGGAGCGAACAGGAUUAGAUACCCUGGUAGUCCACGCCGUAAACGGUGGAUGCUGGAUGUGGGGACCAUUCCACGGUCUCCGUGUCGGAGCCAACGCGUUAAGCAUCCCGCCUGGGGAGUACGGCCGCAAGGCUAAAACUCAAAGAAAUUGACGGGGGCCCGCACAAGCGGCGGAGCAUGCGGAUUAAUUCGAUGCAACGCGAAGAACCUUACCUGGGCUUGACAUGUUCCCGACAGCCCCAGAGAUGGGGCCUCCCUUCGGGGCGGGUUCACAGGUGGUGCAUGGUCGUCGUCAGCUCGUGUCGUGAGAUGUUGGGUUAAGUCCCGCAACGAGCGCAACCCUCGCCCCGUGUUGCCAGCACGUUAUGGUGGGAACUCACGGGGGACCGCCGGGGUUAACUCGGAGGAAGGUGGGGAUGACGUCAGAUCAUCAUGCCCCUUACGUCCAGGGCUUCACGCAUGCUACAAUGGCCGGUACAACGGGAUGCGACGCGGCGACGCGGAGCGGAUCCCUGAAAACCGGUCUCAGUUCGGAUCGCAGUCUGCAACUCGACUGCGUGAAGGCGGAGUCGCUAGUAAUCGCGAAUCAGCAACGUCGCGGUGAAUGCGUUCCCGGGCCUUGUACACACCGCCCGUCAAGUCAUGAAAGUGGGCAGCACCCGAAGCCGGUGGCCUAACCCCUUGUGGGAUGGAGCCGUCUAAGGUGAGGCUCGUGAUUGGGACUAAGUCGUAACAAGGUAGCCGUACCGGAAGGUGCGGCUG
rnacentral:rRNA from 1 species